UCCCUCUCAGGAUUGCACCUGGAGAGUUUCCAGUACUCUUCCAGUCUUGGCUUUGGGAGGGAGAGUCAAGCAGAUGUAUAUCCAUGCCAAUCCUAGCUUGGGCAGUGGCUAGCGAGUGAAAGGCAAUCUGGCACAAGU